rnacentral:rRNA from 1 species
UGGUCCUCCCCGAAAGCCAUUGAGGUAGCGCCGCGGGAAGUCAUCUCCGGGGGCAGACCACUGUUUCGGCAAGGGGGUCAUCCCGACUUACCAAACCGAUGCAAACUCCGAAUACCUAUGAGUACUAUCCGGGAGACAGACUGCGGGUGCUAACGUCCGUAGUCAAGAGGAAAACAAUCCAGACCGCCAGCUAAGGCCCCAAAAUCAUAGUUAAGUGGGAAACGAUGUGGGAAGGCAUAGACAGCUAGGAGGUUGGCUUAGAAGCAGCCACCCUUUAAAGAAAGCGUAAUAGCUCACUAGUCGAGUCGGCCUGCGCGGAAGAUGUAACGGGGCUAAAACUAUGUGCCGAAGCUGCGGAUGUAACUUUAGAGUUACGUGGUAGGGGAGCGUUCUGUAAGCCGAUGAAGGUGUAUUGAGAAGUAUGCUGGAGGUAUCAGAAGUGCGAAUGCUGACGUGAGUAACGACAAAACGGGUGAAAAACCCGUUCGCCGAAAGACCAAGGGUUCCAGUCCAACGUUAAUCGGGGCUGGGUGAGUCGACCCCUAAGGCGAGGCCGAAAGGCGUAGUCGAUGGGAAAUGGGUUAAUAUUCCCAUACUUCUGUGUAAUGCGAUGAGAGGACGGAGAAGGCUAAAUCAGCCUGGCGUUGGUUGUCCAGGUGAAAGGAUGUAGGCAUGUAUCUUAGGCAAAUCCGGGGUGCUCUAUGCUGAGAGUCGAUAUCAAGCUGUACUUGUACAGUGAAGUGGCUGAUACCAUACUUCCAAGAAAAGUCUCUAAGCUUCAGUUACACAGGAAUCGUACCCGAAACCGACACAGGUGGUCAGGUCGAGUAGACCAAGGCGCUUGAGAGAACUCUGCUGAAGGAACUAGGCAAAAUGGUACCGUAACUUCGGGAGAAGGUACGCUGCUGAGGGUGAUGGGACUUGCUCCCUGAGCGCUUGGCAGCCGCAGAAACCAGGCCGCUGCAACUGUUUAUUAAAAACAUAGCACUCUGCAAACACGAAAGUGGACGUAUAGGGUGUGAUGCCUGCCCGGUGCUGGAAGGUUAAUUGAUGGGGUUAGCGUAAGCGAAGCUCUUGAUCGAAGCCCCAGUAAACGGCGGCCGUAACUAUAACGGUCCUAAGGUAGCGAAAUUCCUUGUCGGGUAAGUUCCGACCUGCACGAAUGGCAUAAUGAUGGCGGCGCUGUCUCCAGCAGAGGCUCAGUGAAAUCGAAAUCGCUGUGAAGAUGCAGUGUACCCGCGGCUAGACGGAAAGACCCCGUGAACCUUUACUGCAGCUUGACAUUGAACUUUGACCUUACUUGUGUAGGAUAGGUGGGAGGCUAUGAAGAUGUGACGCCAGUUGCAUUGGAGCCAUCCUUGAAAUACCACCCUGGUAAUGUUGAGGUUCUAACUCUGCCCCGUAAUCCGGGGCGAGGACCAUGUCUGGUGGGUAGUUUGACUGGGGCGGUCUCCUCCUAAAGAGUAACGGAGGAGUACGAAGGUGCGCUCAGCGUGGUCGGAAAUCACGCGUAGAGUAUAAAGGCAAAAGCGCGCUUAACUGCGAGACCCACAAGUCGAGCAGGU